rnacentral:rRNA from 1 species
UACGAGGGGUGCAAACGUUGCUCGGAAUUAUUGGGCGUAAAGCGCACGUAGGCGGAUCCUUAAGUCGGGGGUGAAAUCCUGGAGCUCAACUCCAGAACUGCCUUCGAUACUGAGGAUCUCGAGUCCGGGAGAGGUGGAGUGGAACUGCGAGUGUAGAGGUGAAAUUCGUAGAUAUUCGCAAGAACACCAGUGGCGAAGGCGGCUCACUGGCCCGGUACUGGACG